GACGAACGCUGGCGGCGUGCCUAAUACAUGCAAGUAGAACGCUGAAGGAGGAUCUUGCUUCUCUGGAUGAGUUGCGAACGGGUGAGUAACGCGUAUGUAACCUGCCUGGUAGCGGGGGAUAACUAUUGGAAACGAUAGCUAAUACCGCAUAAGAGUAGAUGUUGCAUGACAUUUGCUUAAAAGGUGCAAUUGCAUCACUACCAGAUGGACCUGCGUUGUAUUAGCUAGUUGGUGGGGGAACGGCUCACCAAGGCGACGAUACAUAGCCGACCUGAGAGGGGGGUGGGCGAAAGUGGAAAUGAGGAAAGGCCCAGACUCCAAAGGGAGGCAGCAGGAGGGAAUCUUCGGCAAUGGACGGAAGUCUGACCGAGCAAAGACGCGUGAGUGAAGAAGGUUUUCGGAUCGUAAAGCUCUGUUGUAAGAGAAGAACGAGUGUGAGAGUGGAAAGUUCACACUGUGACGGUAGCUUACCAGAAAGGGACGGCUAACUACGUG
rnacentral:rRNA from 1 species